rnacentral:rRNA from 1 species
ACGAACGCUGGCGGCGUGCCUAAAACAUGCAAGUCGAACGGUGGUAGUAAUACCACAGUGGCGAACGGCGGAGUAAUACGUGAACAACGUGCCCUGAAGACUGGGAUAGUCGCGGGAAACUGCGGGGUAAUACCAGAUGUGGCUCUGACCCGGCAUCGGGAUGGAACUAAAUGGUUUUUCGCUCCAGGAGCGGUUCACGGCCUAUCAGGUAGUUGGUGGGGUAAUGGCCUACCAAGCCGACGACGGGUAGCGGGUCUGAGAGGAUGGUCCGCUCGAGUGGGACUGAGACACGGCCCACAGCACCUACGGGUGGCAGCAGUUGGGAAUCUUGCACAAUGGGGGAAACCCUGAUGCAGCGACGCCGCGUGGAGGACGAAGGCCCUAGGGUCGUAAACUCCUUUUUUCGGGAAAGACUUAGGACGGUACCCGAAGAAUAAGCAACCGGCUAACUACGUGCCAGCAGCCGCGGUAAGACGUAGGGUGCAAGCGUUGUCCGGAUUUUACUGGGCGUAAAGCGCGCCGUAGGCGGCUUGUUAAGUGUGAAGUGAAAGCUCCGGGCUCAACCCGGAAAUUGCUUCGCAUACUGGCUAGCUUGAGGGAAUGCCAGGAGGUUUGUGGUAAUUCCUGGUGUAGCGGUGAAAUGCGUUGAUAUCAGGAAGGAACACCCAUGGCGAAGGCAGCAAAACUGGGGCAUUAACCCUGACGCUGAGGCGCGAAUAGCGUGGGGGAGCAAACAGGAUUAGAUAUCCUGGUACGUCCACAGCCCCUAAAACGAUGGAUACUAGGCCCGUAGGAGGUAUCGACGCCCCUCCUGUGCCGCAGCUAACGCAAUAAGUAUCCCGCCUGGGGAUACUACGGCCCGCAAGGUUGAAACUCAAAUGAAUUGACGGGGGACCCGCACAAGCGGUUGGAGCAUGUGGUUUAAUUCGAUUACUAACCGAAGAACCUUACCCAGGUUUGACAUUGAGAGAAAGCCCUAGAGAUAGGGUCCUCACCCACAAGGUGACUCGAAAACAGAUGUUGCAUGGCUGUCGUCAGCUCGUGCCGUGAGGUGUACGGUUAAGUCCGCCAACGAGCGCAACCCUCGUCCUGGUAGUAUACCAGCAUGAGAAGAAUUGAGGGACUCACAGGAGACCGCCGGUGUAAGCCGGAGGAAGGUGGGGGACUGAUGUCAAGUCAGCAUGGCUCUUACGCCUGGGGCUACACACAUGCUACAAUGGAAAGCAACAGAGGGCAGCGAAUGACGCGAGUCGGAGCCAAUCCCAAAAAUACUUCCUCAGUUCAUGAUUGCAGUCUGCAACUCGACUGCAUAUGAAGGCGGAAUCGCUAGUAAACGCAGGUCAGCUAUACUGCGUUGAAUACGUUCCCGGGUCUUGUACACAACCGCCCGUCAAGUCACUCUGAAUUGUCUUCAACCCCGAAGAUCCGUGGUCUAACCCGCCAAGGGAAGGAGCGGCCGAAGGUGAGGGGGGUAAGGGGGGACU